CCUUAUGUUUUUAGCCAUUUUCCACAGAAAAACAUUAUUGGUCAUAAAAGUCUUCAAAUGCAAUUUAAUUCAUUUAUUUCUACCUUGUUGCAAUACACAGGUAAUUCCCCAUCAAAGCACAGCAUAAAAAAGGUAUUUUUAAUUUUUUGACGUUUCUGACAGUUUUUGACAUAAGCCUAUAGCCUUAUGUUUUUAGCCAUUUUCCACAGAAAUACAUUUUUCGUCAUAAAAGUCUUUAAAUGCAAUUUAAUUCAUUUAUUACUACCUUGUUGCAAUACACAGGUAAUUCCCCAUCAAAGCACAGCAUAAAAAAGGUAUUUUUAAUUUUUUGACGUUUCUGACAGUUUUUGACAUAAGCCUAUAACCUUAUUCAUUUUGCGAUUUUCCACAUAAACCCAUUAUUCGUCAUAAAAAUCUUUGAAUGCAAUUUAAUUUAUUUUAACCUUGUUGGAACACACAGCCUUAUGUAUUUAGACAUUUUCCACAGAAGCACCUUAUUCAUCGUACAAUUCAAAAAACUUAUUUUUAUUCAGUUAUACAUGUUGUAAUACAGAUGUAAUUUACCAUGAAACCACUUAUUAAAAAAGGUAUUUUAAAAUGUUUGACAUUUUUGACAGUUUUUGACAUAAGGCUAUAGCCUUAUGUUUUUAGCCAUUUUCCACAGAAAAACAU